UUUUUUGUGAAUAUAAAUAAAUAUUUUACGCACGCGAAUUUGGUUUUAUGCACGUGAAUUUGGCUACGCAUGUGUACAUCGUGUCUUUUGCGUGAAUUUUUUUUGAGACUUAUCUGACUCCAUACAUGACAACCAUGUUUAUUUAAGUUAUGUUGUUUUGGUCAUGUCAAGUCGUCAUGACAAAGAUGAAGACCGGUUGUGAAGUAUUUGUUUAUGUCAAGUUGUCAUAACAAACAAUGUCAUCUUUGCAUUUAAAUGCCAUAACUAUGACUAUAAAGCAUUUUAUAGAUGCACAAACUAGGGCCAAAGUUGGCCCAUGGUAACCCUUGAUUUGGCCCUCCGUCCCAUCUGAGAAGAGGGGGAGAACCAUGGAGAUGGUUUAGGUAUUAUCAUUUCAGAUUUAAUGUAACCUUUUAUGCAUUUGUUUUAAUGAUAAACAAAAAACAAAAGUGACUAAAAAUUAAAUGUUUCCAUGUAAAUGCUGUAGUUUACUUAAAAAUGUACAUACCAUCACCUGACGGAUAGAGGACAAUGCAGAGACUUUAGUGAGCGAAUCAAGGCAAUGGCCGAUUCAGCACUGAACCACACUGUUAUAAAUAUGAUUAUAUUUUUAUUGCAAUAAGAUGUAAUUAAAAAGUUAUAUGAGCAAGGUGUAGAUGUAUGCACAAGAGUAGCAGUGGGUUUGAGGCUGCAGGCAGAGUGGCUUAGUGUCCCACCAGUGACCAGUGGUGUAGCGCUAGAUGCGGGGGAUUAUUGACGCCCAGUUAAUUAUUGAAAUCACGCUCAGUGGGGUGGGGAGUUGGGUGUGACGGUCACAGAAGUGUGAUAUUGCGUUUAUACAACAGUUUGACAGCAUAAUCAUGUGUAUAAAUCUAACACAAAGAGUCUCAAGUAUCCAUAUGUAUGAGGAACUACUUUCUUUCGCCAUUCAUUCACAUCUACAGCUGACCCUCAGAAUAGCAUAAACUGUUGCUACUUUACAAAUUUCAAUGAUUCUCUUGUGUAAUGUCAAAAAUUAUGACAAAACAGGUGAUUUUGCUCACAUUUUAAGAUUAUAAGGCUGAACAGCAUGAAAUGCCUUCAGUCUACUGAGAUUUCCCAGUAUUUCUCUAUUAUUUCUCGGAAUUUCACAAUAAUUAACCCAGGAAAAGCUAAAGCAAUGCAAACACUGGCAGAUUACUAUGGUAUAAGUAAAGCACUACAAAGUACAAAAGAGAGAGAUCAGCUUAGAAAGUCACUUACCUGAUUUAGAAUAAUUUAUUUAGCUGUAGUUUGAAACGUACACUGCGAAAAUGCAGUUUUUCUCCCCUAAGGAUUAAUUAUGUGGUCUCUGUCGCCAUCUUGUGGCAGAACAUCAACCGUCUUUGCUCUGCUUAGUAUGACAGGUUGAUGGCCGCCGACGCGCUGUAUCUCCAAAUUUAUAAACAUUUAAAAUAGGCACUAUCCAUAUAAAUAAACUGCAUAGUUGCAAUCUAAACAGCUACAGUCUCACCUUAAAAGCCUCAAAAGUACAUUAUGUUGUCCAGCAGCUGCAAUAACUGUCAAACUGUAGUCCUUUGCUUGCCACUCGUGUGGCGGAGGAAUACACAAGGGUGAAGAGGCUGUACGAGUGCUGUUACUUUAAUAUUGCAAGGCUUUCAGCCAAUCAGAUUUGAGAGCCAGACCGAACUGUUAUAUAAACUGCAUUAGUUAAUACGAUUUAAAGUAAUACUUUCUUUUUACUUAUAAAUAUUAUUAAAUAAAUUCGAAAAUUACUCAAUGCAGCUUUAAUGUGCAAUAGUUUGGUAUAGUUAUCUUCAGCCCACGGCUCUCAAUGGUAUUUGGUUUCUGGCCCUUCAAACGAAAAUGUUUGGGCGCCCCUGAUAUAAAGUCUUAUGAACACCCCUUUAAGUCAAGCCAGCUGAAAACCUGUAACAACUGAACUAUUAAAGUGGGAAAGGCAAAUAUAAUAGAGGUCAAUGGUUACAGGUUUUCAACAUUCUUCAAAAUAUCUUCUUUUUGGAAGAAAUGAACUCAAAUAGGUGUUAGGCAAGUAACAGAAUUGUCAUUUUAAGGUGAACUAUCCCUUUAAUUCAUCGGCGUACAUUUCUCCUUAUUAUUAUUGUUGUUUUUUAUUGUACUCCAGCACACGUGCCUAAAGGUCUCUCCCUCAGAGUGACUGUAUCAGUAUUAUAUUUAAAGACGCCGUCUCUCCAGCUCAAGAUGACGUGGCUAUAAAGAGCGUCUGUCAUAAAAGCUAUGCGAAGAAAAAAAAAAAAACAUGAAUUUUGUAAAAACACAUGUCAGCGGUAUUUACAUAUGGGAGAAAGAAGAAGUAUUAUUUGUGCCUUAUCUUGUAUAAUUUAAAUGAUUUUUGUUCUUCCAUCUGUCUGAUCUGAUCUGUUUUCUGGUGAUGUUAUUGCAAUCCAAGCAGGUGCUGUGGCAACUAAAGUUCGAAGGCACGAACUGCGCGUCCAUCCUUACCAAAGGGUAGUGACCGCAGAAAGAGCCACCACUGGCAACUAACCCUGACCUUCUGACCUCCUCACCCAAUGAUGACCUGCCCAUUACCUGCCUGCAGAUAUCACACCUCUGCCCUAAAAAAAUCAAUCAAUCAAAGACAAAACGAGUAUCUAAGAGCCGUCACAGCUUUUCCUACAGCUCAGCGGUUGGACACGGGAGUGGAUCGGACGUUCCUGUCGCUGUAGAUCUGCACUCUUUAUAAGCAAUAAGCAAUAAUGAUUUGCCCCACACCCUCUUAAGUCAAAGCCAGAGCUUCACGAGACGGGAAUGUUGAGGAAUCGGAAGCGGAUUGAACAUCCAGCGUACCCCAAAACCAGAGGCGGAAGUGAUCCUGCAGUUACGGUAAUGACUCUGAAUGUAAUGCAUGACGGUGAAGAUGAUGCAUACACGUCUGUGCUGCAUCGCUACGUCAUACACGGUUUCAGUGACGUAAAAAAACAAGAGUAUUUCCCUUUCUGGAACAAUCUGACACUUUUCAGUGAGGAUGUAUAAGCCAUGCUUGCCUAUCUGCUGUACAAAUGUAUGAAGUUUGUAGAUAAAUGUUCAAAGAGUGGCGUUAACAACAAAAAACAUGUACAGGAAGAACAUUUUUAUUAUGCUCCAGAGAACGUAUAUUUUUACAAUUCGUUAUUUUAUACUGUCAAACAUUGUGAAGAGAACUUAAAAAAAAAAA